GACGAACGCUGGCGGCGUGCUUAACACAUGCAAGUCAAACGGAAAGGCCCUGCUUUUGUGGGGUGCUCGAGUGGCGAACGGGUGAGUAACACGUGAGUAACCUGCCCUUGACUUUGGGAUAACUUCAGGAAACUGGGGCUAAUACCGGAUAGGAGCUCCUGCUGCAUGGUGGGGGUUGGAAAGUUUCGGCGGUUGGGGAUGGACUCGCGGCUUAUCAGCUUGUUGGUGGGGUAGUGGCUUACCAAGGCUUUGACGGGUAGCCGGCCUGAGAGGGUGACCGGCCACAUUGGGACUGAGAUACGGCCCAGACUCCUACGGGAGGCAGCAGUGGGGAAUAUUGCACAAUGGGCGGAAGCCUAAUGCAGCAACGCCGCGUGCGGGAUGACGGCCUUCGGGUUGUAAACCGCUUUCGCCUGUGACGAAGCGUGAGUGACGGUAAUGGGUAAAGAAGCACCGGCUAACUACGUG
rnacentral:rRNA from 1 species